CGUCGACAAACAGCGCAAAUAAAGCAACGUUUCUGUUGAAGAAAUCGGCGCAGAAUGUCCGUUGUCUAAAUUGGCGACACAUUGGCCCAAAACAACAGAACUCCUGGUCAACGGAACUCUUUCACAACUACUCCAAACGGACUGUUUCAAGAUGAUUAACUUACCGAUGACACAAUAAAGUCUCCAUUUACAACCAAGAAUGGCAGUGAAUGGCCGUCUAUCAAGGCGCAUCCAUCCAUGAUAAAAGUAAUCCACCACAUGACUCUGGCGGGGUUAUAAAGCCCUUUUAAAGCGAAGCAUUUGUGCUAUGAGGAAAAACUCUACCGUGGCGUGCACACAGAGAACAGAGCUCAAUGCUGCUAACUGGGGGAGCAGCUGGACAACUAGAAGAGAGAAUAGUAGAACACUACUAUUAAUACAGAUUCCUGGAUUAUUCUUCUGCAAGAACCAAAACAAGCAAAGACUGAUGAUGAGUGCUCUGAGCAAACACCGGAGUCAAGACGCAUGAGUGACUUUACAGAGUUCUUCAUGUAAUGUUGGGCAUUUACUGUACGCAGAAGUUCUAAUAAUUUAUGUGGAUGCCAUUUAUAAACCUGUUAGAUUUUGAUGUUUUAGUUUUGAGAUUAAUAAAAUGUUAUGCUUUAACAAUGUUAUAGCUAAUCAUUUUUGAGGGGUUUUAAGAGAACAUUUUGGGAACAAAAAUAAACUUCCGCUAAAAACUUUAUAAGAAAGUUAGGGGAUAAUGUUUUAAAAAUGUUAUGAUUAAACCUUUAUAGAAGGUCAUCACAAAACAUUUUCAGA